rnacentral:rRNA from 1 species
UACGGGGGGGGCAAGCGUUGUUCGGAAUUACUGGGCGUAAAGGGUGCGUAGGCGGUGCUCUAAGUCGGAUGUGAAAACUCUGGGCUCAACCCAGAGCCUGCAUCCGAAACUGGAGUGCUAGAGUUCUGGAGGGGGUAGCGGAAUUCCUGGUGUAGCGGUGAAAUGCGUAGAUAUCGAGAGGAACACCGGUGGCGAAGGCGGUUCUCUGGGCCUGACCUGACGCUGAGGAGCGAAAGCGUGGGGAGCGAACAGG